rnacentral:rRNA from 1 species
GACGAACGCUGGCGGCGUGCUUAACACAUGCAAGUCGAACGGAAAGGCCCUGCGUUUGUGGGUUGCUCGAUUGGCGAAGGGGUGAGUAACACGUGAGUAACAUGCACUUGACUUUGGGGUAACAUCAGGAAACUGGGGCUCAUACCGGAUAGGAGCUCCUGCUGCGUGGUGGGGGAUGGAAAGAGUCGGCGGUUGGGGAUGGAUUCGCGGCUUAUCAGCUGGUUGGUGGGGUAGUGGCUUACCAAGGCUUUGACGGGUAGCCGGCCUGAGAGGGUGACCGGCCACAUUGGGACUGAGAGACGGCCCAGACUCCUACGGGCGGCAGCAGUGGGGAAUAUUGCACAAUGGGCGGAAGCCUGAUGCAGCAACGCCGCGUGCGGGAUGACGGCCUUCGGGUUGUAAACCGAUUUCGCCUGUGACGAAGCGUGAGUGACGGUAACGGGUAAAGAAGCACCGGCUAACUACGUG